ensembl:snRNA U6 U6 spliceosomal RNA
GUGCUUAUUUUGGCAGCAUAUACACUAAAAUUGGAACAAUAUAGGGAAGAUUAGCAUGGCCCCUGAGCAACGAUGACAUGUAAAUAAAAUAAAAAAGUAAAAAUAUAU